GGCGAACGCUGGCGGCGUGCCUAAUACAUGCAAGUCGAGCGGACGGAUGGGAGCUUGCUCCCAGACCGUCAGCGGCGGACGGGUGAGUAACACGUGGGCAACCUGCCUGUAAGACUGGGAUAACUCCGGGAAACCGGGGCUAAUACCGGAUAACUCUUUCCCUCACAUGAGGGAAAGCUGAAAGAUGGCAUCUCGCUAUCACUUACAGAUGGGCCCGCGGCGCAUUAGCUAGUUGGUGAGGUAACGGCUCACCAAGGCGACGAUGCGUAGCCGACCUGAGAGGGUGAUCGGCCACACUGGGACUGAGACACGGCCCAGACUCCUACGGGAGGCAGCAGUAGGGAAUCUUCCGCAAUGGACGAAAGUCUGACGGAGCAACGCCGCGUGAGUGAUGAAGGUUUUCGGAUCGUAAAACUCUGUUGUCAGGGAAGAACAAGUACCGGAGUAACUGCCGGUACCUUGACGGUACCUGACCAGAAAGCCACGGCUAACUACGUG
rnacentral:rRNA from 1 species